GACGAACGCUGGCGGCGUGCUUAACACAUGCAAGUCGAACGGAAAGGCCUGCCUUUGGUGGGUUCUUGGAGUGCCAAACGGGGAGGAACACGUUGGUAACCCGCCCUUUACUUUUGGGUUAACUCAGGGAACUUGGGCCAAUUCCCGGAAAGGACUUCCGCCGCCAGGGGGGGGGUGGGAAAGUUCGGCGGUUGGGGGUGGACUCGCGGCUUAUCAGCUUGUUGGUGGGGUAGUGGCUUACCAAGGCUUUGACGGGUAGCCGGCCUGAGAGGGUGACCGGCCACAUUGGGACUGAGAUACGGCCCAGACUCCUACGGGAGGCAGCAGUGGGGAAUAUUGCACAAUGGGCGGAAGCCUGAUGCAGCAACGCCGCGUGCGGGAUGACGGCCUUCGGGUUGUAAACCGCUUUCGCCUGUGACGAAGCGUGAGUGACGGUAAUGGGUAAAGAAGCACCGGCUAACUACGUG
rnacentral:rRNA from 1 species